CACAGGUGAGAUGGGACAGGUGAGAUGGGACAGGUGAGAUGGGACAGGUGAGAUGGGACAGGUGAGGUGGGACAGGUGAGA